rnacentral:rRNA from 1 species
AUACGUACUGUGCGAACGUUAUUCGGAAUCACUGGGCUUAAAGGGUGUGUGGGCGGCAAUAUAAGUAGGAUGUGAAAUCUCUCGGCUUAACCGGGAAACUGCGUUCUAAACUGUAUUGCUUGAGUAAGAUAGGGGUGUGCGGAACCUCCGGUGGAGCGGUGAAAUGUGUUGAGAUCGGAGGGAACACCAGAAGCGAAGGCGGCACACUGGGUCUUAACUGACGCUGAGACACGAAAGCUAGGGUAGCGAACGGGAUUAGAAACCCUUGUAGUCC